rnacentral:rRNA from 1 species
AUUAGAUACCCUUGUAGUCCAUGCCGUAAACGAUGAGUGCUAGGUGUUGGAGGGUUUCCGCCCUUCAGUGCCGGAGCUAACGCAUUAAGCACUCCGCCUGGGGAGUACGACCGCAAGGUUGAAACUCAAAGGAAUUGACGGGGGCCCGCACAAGCGGUGGAGCAUGUGGUUUAAUUCGAAGCUACGCGAAGAACCUUACCAGGUCUUGACAUCUUGCGCUAACCUUAGAGAUAAGGCGUUCCCUUCGGGGACGCAAUGACAGGUGGUGCAUGGUCGUCGUCAGCUCGUGUCGUGAGAUGUUGGGUUAAGUCCCGCAACGAGCGCAACCCUUGUUACUAGUUGCCAGCAUUAAGUUGGGCACUCUAGUGAGACUGCCGGUGACAAACCGGAGGAA